UUCUGGUAUUCAGCAUUUAGGUUUUGGAACUUCUUGGGCUACGGUCUCAUCACUUGCAUAGGAGUCUCCACACACCUGCAGUUGCAGUUGUGCUAAUAAUGGCUCUGAAUAAAAGUGUAUUGGUGGAGACAUCCAUCAAUUUUGAAUGAAGUGAUACAAUGGACACAUUUCAGACUUGGAAAACACUGAAGCCCAGAAUGGGAGUUCCUCACAGUCCGGACUUUCUGGGAGACUGAUUUCUAGACUAAGGGAUUAGAGAGUGGUGCUGAGCCAAGAGAACUCUUGGAGUGACCAUCCUUACCCAGCAAAUGGCAGGCUUCAUCUCCUAGAAGCAGUACUUUGUGGCUAUUGGAUCUGAGUCUUCAAAGGGUCAAUGUUCUUUCAAAUUCUUGAAAGCAUGCCACAAACAGAUAACAUCCCCCUAUUGUAUAUGUAGAUAAAAGGAGACAAAAAUUGUGUACCUCCAAGAGUCUGUGAGUCCUACAGAUGAUGCCAUCUGAUAUCUGAUGCCAUUUCUGAGAUCUUUUCAGUACAGUGAGUACUGUUUCACUCUGUGUGUUCUUCAUUUCUGUAUCACAGAAUUCCAUGGGGCCAUAAUGAUACUAACACAACAUGAGAGCUAGAAAAAGGAAAGCCACUUAUGCAAACUAAUUGUUUGCCAUUCUAGUGGCUUAGACUGCUGUCCUACAUAGUUCAUGAAAUGAGUAACUUAUUUCACGUUAAUAUCCCCAUGUCUGAGUUCUUGUCUCAAAUAUUUGCCCAAUACCUACUCUGUGCUAAUAAUAUAAAAAUUUAAAUUUAAAUAAAAAUGAAAUGAGUAUUCCAUAAGAGUCCACUAGCCACAUACCCUUAAGUAUAUAUGUCCUUAGGGGAUAUUACCAAACUGACCAUCUGUUUACUAAAUCAUAAGAAAAAGUGUUUUGAUAAUUAUAAUUUAAAGCAUAGCCAUACCUUUUUUCCCUUAGUUACUGCUUGGAAAUAAGGGAAAGCGGGAGAAUGUCACCAAAACAUACAAUAAUUCCAAAUUUCCAAGUGCUAAAAUGAUGUAAGUAUUGUAGUUAAACUCAUUAGACUUGUAAUGAAAAUAUGAUUCUAAUUGUAUGUCUUAAAAAUCUAAAUAUUUUUAGAGAAGAGUUAUGUGUCUAAUAAAAGUCAGCACCAUUAUGUGAACAAUGAGGCAAAAAUAUAUCAAACAUGAAAUUACUUAUGUUGGAGUUGUCAAACUGUGUGCAGAUCUUGACAAGUGCAAUCAGGUUUCAAAUAUCAGUUGAUACAUAGUUCCCAUCCAAUUGCCCUGAGUAAUUGUGAUUGUCAACUUCAGGGGAUUAAAAUACGCCUAGAAUGUUAGGGAAGCCCACCUGUUCAUGUGUCUUUGUGAGUAUGUUCUUAUACAGUUUGAACAUGACAGCUCUGAAUUCUUGGAGGGAUUCAUCCAUUGACAAAUAUGGAUGUUUAGUAUCCUACAGGAAGUGGUGAGACUAUGGCAUGUAGGGCAUGGAUGAAGGAAGCAGGUUACUAGGUAUGCAUCCCUGGGACUCUGUCUUACCCUGGUCCUUUCCUGUUGAGUCUCCUGCUCUGCUUUCUUUCUUUUCUUUUUCUCUAAUUUAUUUUUUCUUCU